UAAAGGCAAAACAGAUUAUAUUUGUGAAAAAAAAAAAAUUUAAAAUAUCCCUGAUAAGGCAAAUCUCCUCUGAUUGGAUUCCAAGAAUUCUGCUAAUUACUGAGGUAUUCCUGAAAGUAUUUAAUUUUACAUAUUUCAGUGGUCAAAUUCACAUCAAAGGACUUACUUACAAAGAAAUCAAUAUAUCUCAUUAUUAUAAUGAACACUAGUAAGUUUUUCUAUCUUUGUUAUGACUUUUAUGGCUAACCUCAGUUUUCAGGGAUAGUGGAACAUGGUUUUGUAUCUAAAGGAGAUCACUAGCUAAGAUCCUGGUUACACAAGACAAAUUUUAUAAUGGGAAUUUUGUUCUUAAGGUUUUUUUACAUCUGCAUGAAAAUCCAAACUGUCCAGCUAGAAUCUAUCCAAAACCUUAUUUAUUAAGAUAGGUUUUCAUGGAAACAAGCUAUAUGGUAAUAAACCUCAAGUUAAUUAAAAAAAAAUCUAGAAAGAUAUUUAUUGAGUCCAGUAGCUAAAUCUGCUUUUCUGCUAGACGUUUCCCCUUUUUUCUGUGAAACGUGUUGAAUACCUCUGAGACUCACAGCUCUGCUGUGCCUGUGCCUCACACAGAUUAGAACACCAAUACUGUAUUUUACAAGCAGUAUAGUAAUGGGUUUAUUUUGAAAGGAAGUUGUGUUUAGAUGAACACUCAUUUAUGAAGAGAUACUAGAAAAAUAUCUUCUCUGAGUCUGUGCAAAAGUUGUCGUAUGGUUUUCAAGUUACUGUGGAGAAAGAAAUGCUGCUUACCACAUGGCAUGCACCUUUCUUCUUCAUGGUCAAAGUAUUCAUCAUGAGAGCAGUUGUAACAGCCUGAAGAAAGAGGAAGAGAAGUUUGUUUUACAUUUCUCAGAGAAAGGCAUUUAAUUUACACUAUUUAUAAUUGAAUAUAUUAUAUAUAUGUUAUUAAAAAAUAGUAUAAAGUUCAACAUCAUCUAUUCAGGUAAGUAUUUCCAAUGUUAUCCUCAGAAGGAGGUUUUGUCUAUGUAGGAAUUUUUUAGUUUCUCCAGCUAUAUCCAUUUGUUUAAGAAAAAUAUUAAUUUCUCUCUCCAUGUUUUCUUUCCUAAGUACAGUGCAUUCUUUUGAUUUGGUGCAAGUUAAAAUUUCUCUUCCAGACUGGCUGAGCCUGAUAUAAAGCUAAAUAUAGUACAUCUACUGAGUUGAUUAUGUAUUUAAAACACUACUGGUAAGGGAAAUAUCAGCAAAACUUCUUCCAAAAUAACAUAAAUUAGAUUAUUAUUUAACUGUAAUAUGACUGAUUAAAAAAAAAAAGCACUGAAAAUAAUUAUGUUACUGUUUCCUGGUUUACAGCAGAAGAGGUUAUUACCUUCAAUAUUGACGUAUUUGUAGUUUUGAUUUGGACAGUUACAAGGCCUGUAGUGCCAGGUGCAUUUGUCAUCGUUGUAGUCAUAGGAAAAAGCAUCAUCAAUUCCUUUUCUGUUAUGAGAAUUGUAAUACUCACAAUAGACAGCUAAAAAAAGGACAAGCAAGAGAGAAGAUUUUUCUUUUUCAAAUUAAUGGCAUACUGGGAUACUUCCAAAGUACUAGAAGGAAGACAAAAUUAAUUAACAGUUGGAAUAAAAAAAUGCCACUGCAGUGAUUAGCUUGUGAUGUAAAUGCAUAUUUUAACUUGUGGAAGUCAGGGGUUUUUUUGCAAGUACAGUAUGCAGACAUUUCCACAACUUUUCAUACACAAUAUAUUGAAAUGUGGAAAGAAAUCCAUCAAGAUGACAACACUAACAUUGAUUUAUAGCAUGUUCAUCCUCUUUUUUCCUUUGUAUUUGCUGUUUUGGAACACCUUGAUGUCAUUUUCCUGUUUUACAGUGUUCCAGCCAACACAGCUGUCUACAUUCCCUUGACAUCCAUACAGAAACUGAUUUCAUCAUAGCUCAAAUAAAACAUUCUUUUUUUACCAUUUCAUGCUCUCUCUGCUGGCAAAAUCACAGUGCACUAUACACUGAUAGCAGAAGAAAACAAUCUGCUUUCUGUGACCACAUUACUUUCUCUCUCAUUAUUCCAUGGCAAAAAGAGUUAAAAUAUUUUGGUAAAGUACAGAUUUUGAAACCCAGGUGUCUGAGGUUAACUCUUUGCCCACAGACAAAAUGCAGACCUUGAGGUAGUUAUUACUAAGUUUCCUAUGUUGCCAAAUGAAUAUACUGACAAUAAAAAUCUCUUAAACCUGUUUAAGGAGAGCUUAAGGAAACUCACGACAGAACUCAGGGGUCCUCCAGUCAAUGCAGAUGCCUUUUUCCAAGCAUGCCAUGGCAUAGACUGCGAUGGCGUCACACAUGCACUGACAGUCCCCUCCAAUGUCACACCCACAGGAGUCUCGGACACAGGCCUCAUAGUAGGGCAUCCGAUUCACCUGCAUGGCAAGAGGAAGGGAUUCAUUUUCCAGGAUUAUACUCUAUGUAUAUGCAUAGCCACUGCAGUAUUAUCCACAUUUCUUACUGGUUUUCAUCACCUGAAAAUGCAUUGAUCAAUAUGAGGCAUCACCAACAGACUGACUAAUUCCUGAUUCUUAAGUCUUCACUCUUUUUUCACUCUUUUAGUUUUAACUAAUCAGUUAAUAGCAUAUUUAGCAUUUGUAUCUACAAAAUGGCUGGUGAAGUGCAAAUAAAAAAAAAGAAAAUUAACAUAAAUGUGAGCUAUAAACAUUUUAAAAUGUAUUUUAUUGAAACAUUUUGCCAAAUAGAAAAUCACCUGUUGGAGGUUGAGCAUUUGGAAGAAUAUGGAUUAUGCCUAUAAAUAAUUUUUAAAAAGCAAAUAAAUUCUUACCUUAUUGUGACAGGCAGAAAAAACAUGGCUGUUGAUGAUGGAACAUGUCUUUUCUGCCCAUGCUUUACGAUAAGGGUUCUUGCUACAGGGGUCCACUACAAAGUACACAUCCCCACAGAGAGGAUUCUCUUUCCAAGAGUUGACAAAUUCCAGCUCGUUUGAUGCCACAUACUUGCUUCGAGUUUCAAAGUCAUCCUUCAUGUUGCCAUUAUAGUUACCACACAAACCACAGAUUGUUUCCUAGAUUCAAUGAAAGCAUCAAUAUCAGUUCAGCAAGUUAAAAUUCUCACCUUCCCUUUUGAUCACUGACUGUUUCCUGUGCUUUAGGAGGGAAUGUCAUCUACAAAUACUCUCUCAUAACAUACUUGUGAGUGGGUUUCUCGUCUAAACUGUAAACUGUCACUAUUUAGAGAUCUAAUUCAAAUGUGCAAAUGCCUAAAUUACAAACAUUUAGCUAAAAAAUUUCCUGAAUGCAGUACAGAAAUCCCUUAAAAGUUAGCUUCUUGUGAAGAUCUCUGCUGUUUUGGAGAUAAUGAUAAAACUGAAUUGCUGGUAGCAUUUCUGGAAAACCUUUGCUAUCACAGAGAUUCAAGGCAACCAUGAUCAAAUGUGCAAUUCAAUCUGAAUGGAGGGACACUUAAAGGAAAUUUUUCUGCAAUACCUGUGUUUCUCUGGAGAUCUUGAUGAAGAAGUUCAUGUGCUUAUUCCAAAUAAGGGUCAUGUUGUAUUUUCCUGGGAUAAUGAUAUCAAACAUCAGGUGAAGGGCAUUCUUUUUCACUUUGUAUCUUAUACCAGGAUUUUCCCCAGAAAUAGCAAAGGUUUCAUCUCUCAGUAUGAUUGUCAGAUUCUGGAAGAAAAUUUAUCUGAAAGUUACAACUUAUCAAGUUUCAGUAUUUUCGUUGCUGAAGUUCAGCUGCUGUAAUACUGCAGCAGGAAAACAGUAUUUUUUGAUUGAGCAAUUCACUGCAGAGUGAACUUCAAAAUUUCCUGGCUUCUACAUAGACAGGAUUCUUGGAGAAUGAAACAACAUGAGAAUUAAAGAAACCCAAACAAACAGCUAUGGCAUUUCCUACUAAAACCAAGGCUCUAGGUUUAGCACAUAAUUUCACUUACAAGAUCCUUCUCUUAAGACACGGCUAAAGCUUCCAAAAAACUAAGAAAAACCUAGUCUUAAAAUCUAUUCAGCUGGAUAAUGGCAGAAAGAAGAGCUUACCCCAAGGUAAAUGCUGAUGGAUCUGGAGCAUGUAACUCCUGAUUUCCCACAGAUGACAUUCUCAGUAACAAUUUUGAAAGAGGAAAUGGGUCUGCUAAUACUGCAGCCAUCCUAAAAAGAACCCCAAAACAAACCACAAGAAACACAAAGGUUCAACAGACUGUGCCUGAAGUCUUCCAAGUUAAAACAUAAAAGUAUAAGAAAAUACAGGAUGCUUAAAAUGUCACGAAUAAUUCUGUUUUGGGAGGUGAUGACUUCUGCUUUGUUGGUAACUUCCCUAAAAGACAUAUUUAUCUGGUACAGAAUACAGUGACUAUUUAAACAAUUAUAUUUUUAAAAAAUCUAAAAUUGGUUAUAAUUGCAUUAAAAUUUUGGUUUUUUAGAAGUGGAAUAUUUUCAUUCUAAGCAUUGAAAUAAAUAUAAUAUAUAGAAACUUAGUAGGUGGUUAUAAAGAUUCAAAGUGCUGUAUUGUUUAUUGAUGCAUCCUAGCAUAUUUUUAUUAGUCUCUUAAAUCCAGCUAUUGCUUGAUGCUGAGAUGCUGCUGAAAUAAUCAGAAGCAGGUUACCAUAGCUAAUAUGUAUUCACAGUUGCCAUCAAACACAAAACGCUGUCCAUCAAAGGUGGUGAUGUGGCCUUCUCCAUACAGAUUACAGGUGGAGGAACACCUUGUUUUCUGAACACAUUUCCAUUUGCCUUUUCUGCAAGUGCUGGGAGUGAGAAGAGAAACCACACUCAGAUUUCAAAGAAAUGCCAUCUUCGCCUGCUUAUUUUUAUAUAUAUUCACUUUUAUUGAUAACAUGUUUGAUUAAUUGACUUAUGUACACUGAGACCAAAUUACAGUUAAUAUAAGAACCAUAAUUAAACUUUAUGGACUGCCUAGAAAAUGAAAUAAUAAUAAAGAAGAAAUCUUAGAUAAUGUUUGUGCUUUUUAAAUGAAAGAAAUAGUAUAUAAAACCCAUUUAUUUUUGCUCUUAACGAGAUCAGAAGUCACUGCUCUGUGUAAUUUGGGGAGUGUUUUGUUUUUUUUUUUUAAUAAUAGAUUAGUAACUGGAAAGGGAAUAAAGUACUCUGAGAAUGCUGCUAAAGAGAUGGGAAUCUUUUUCGGGGUGAUUACUUUUACAUACAGAAAAGAAGAAAAUUUUUGCCCUCAUCUUUACUUAAGUGGGUUGUUAAUAAUUCUUGACUUUGUAUCAUUUACAGUCACAGGCCUUACUGGAUGCCUUUAUUCCUGAACAUACAUAAGGCAGAAAUUGUCCCUGAAGCUGGUAUAAUGACUCUUAUCCAUACAUAUCCUGUCAAAUGUUAAGCUUCUCUCGUUAAUCCCUGUACUCUGUCAUAGUAUUUCUUCUUUACAGCUGUUGCCAUUUCCUACUCUCCAGUCAGUUACACACUUAUUUUUAUUUGACUGUACACUUCAGUGAAACAGAGGAUCUGCAAUGAAAUACUCUGAUUCUUACCAGAUCUCACAUUCUGUCUGGAUUUGUUCACCUCUCCCAUAAGCAAGGCCGCCAUAUUCACAUGGACACUCCUCAGCUGGCACACACCUGCCAUCAAGAUUUUCAUAGAGGCCAUCAGCACAGACACAGCCUGAUUCACACUUUGUGGGUAUCUGGGAAAGGCCAACAGAUUGCAAAACAAAAAGACAGGAAUGUGAGAUGCAUUUUAUCCUGGAUGUGAAUGGUGUCAAAAGUGAACCUGUGCUAAGUCGUGUUUGGGCUUGAUUUUAGUUUUGUGAUGUUCCUUGUAUUAAUAUGCUGUCAGUUGAACUAGUUUCACUGAAGCUGUAACAUAUACUUGUGGUCUGAGAUACUAAACAUACCUGAAGACUCUGAAAAACAUAUCUUCCAUCAGUACCAGUCUUUCAGAAACAGUACAACAGAAUAUUCUUCAUAUCAAGGAAGCUUAUUACAAUUCUUCCAAUUAAUCUGUUUCCUUAAUGUAAGAAAACCCUAUCAGGACAGCCCAGAUCUUCACCUAGCCCAGGUCUCCUGCAUUCUGUGACCAACAGCAGCAGAGAGUUCAGAAAAAAACAGAACAGGAAGCAUAAACCCCAUAUUUCCAUUGACAUGGAGUCACAGCUUAUGGAGCCAGAGAUUAUAGCCAUGUAGUUAAGAAUCCUCAAUGGAUUUUUAUUCUAAUAGAAUUUCAUUCAUUAAUUCAUGCAAUUAAUUUCUUUAAUCAAUUCUUAAAUACAUGUGCCAUUUUUUUGUCCACAGACUGAUAUUUAACUGCAUCAUGUAAGAAAAAAUAAUGCCUUUAAUUUGACUAGAAGCAAUGUAGCUAGUUCUAAGUAACAACUAGAACAUUCUAUCUCUCUCAAAAGGAUAAAUAUCCCAGAGCUGUGAAACUCACACAUUCAAUUCCAGUAGCCAGCAUCUGACAGGUAGGGGCACAUGCAGCUCCAUACUUGUUUUCUAAAUUGUCAGAACAUGAUAUGUAUUUCUUAGGAGCUUUGCAGUUUUCUAGGAAAAAGGAAGAAAAAUUAACAUUGAGGAGAAAUUAACACAGAAGAAAAUAGCAAAGUAGUAAUUUUACAACAUAAAGGACAAAAAAUGUUUAUAAGUAAACAAUAUCAGACUCAUACCUGCAGGAUUUUGAGGUUUGCCUGUGCAACUUAGCCUCCCAUUAACGCAGUAGCUAGGAAGAAAAAGAAAAAUCAAUGAAAACCUCUUCUCAGAAAGAAAUUUUGAUUUUUUGCAAAAUUUUUUAAGUAAAACGUUUUGCUCAUGUUACUACCUCCUUCCCAUCAUUUGAAGUGGAAUAUGAGUCAACAUGUCUCUUCACUUUUUGUAUUAUACAAUAACAUCAGUUGGGAAAAUGAAUGCCAAUUAUCACUAGUAGGCAAUUGUCACUAUGAGCUGUUGAGAAAAUCUCCUAGUAUGAAUAACCAGAUCUCAGCUAUUAUUGUUUAUUUUUCUCUGUAACAUUUCCAAGCUGAAGGUAAGUAAAACGUUUUCUGUUCAGUUAAGAAUAUUUGUAGUUUAGAAAAGAGCAAAAAAAAGUCUUGAAAAAGAAAUUUAUGCUAUUAAAAAUAAAGGAGACUCUACUCGUUUGGGCUGGAAUGGAGUUAAUUUUCUUUGUAGCAGCACAGUGGUGCUAUGUUUUGGAUUUGUGACCAAAACAUUGUUGAUAACACAAUGUUGUUUUAGCUGGUGCUGAACAGUGUCCCAGCAUUCUUGCUCAUCAAGUUGCUCUGCCAGGGAGGAGGCUGAGAAGCAAGGUAUUUUCAUUCUAAGUGAAAGCUGGGAGGGGACACAGCCAGGACAACUGACCCAACUGACCAAAGCAAGAUUCCAUACUAUACCAGCAAUAAAAGCUCAGGUAAAGAAGGAAGAAGGAGGGAUGUUCUGAGUUACAGCACUCGUCUUCCCAACAAACCCCAUUAUGCAUGGCAAAUUCAUGAUUUCCUGGAAACGUCUGAAUGGCUGCCUGCUGACGGGAAGUUCUGAAUCAAUUCCUUACUUAGCUUUGAUUGUUCAUGCUGCUUUGCUCGUUCAUGCUGCUUUGCUCACUAAAUAGGCUUUUUGCUUAUUAUUAGUAAAGAAACUUAGUAAACUGUCUAUAGCUCUACCCAUAAGGUUUCUUGCUGUUGUCCUGAUUCCCCUCCACAUCCUGCUGGAGUGACUAAGUAGCUGUGUGGUGCUUGUCUACUUACUGCAGUUGUAGUACCCUUGACACAUACAUGAAGACCCCUCCAUUUUCAGUUUGUUCACCUUUAAACACACUUACCAGGUGAUCCCACCAGUCAUUGUUGACUGGUCAGGCAGGAUGUACUUUCUGUCCUCUAAGUAGCAGGGACAAUGAGAUUUACGAACACACUCAUUCUUGUGGUUCAGGUACAUUCCUUUAGGACACUGGCAGCCCUCAAUAGGAAUAUCAGUUGGAUGGCAUUCCAGGGCUCGGUUGGAGAGUGACAAACAUGUCCUGUCACAUGCCUGGGUGUUGUAGCUGAAUGUUUGAUUGCCAGUGCAAGUAAUGGCUAUAAAACAAGACAAGAGUGUAUGUUAAACUUCAUUUACUGAUCGUCUUCCUUGUGAAAGAUAAUGUCCUUUUUGCUUACUAUGUGCUGCUUAUUUUGUGUCAACAGUUUCAAUGCUUAAUGCUUCCUGUUGCUUCUCUUCCUGUGGAUUUGGAGCUCUAGCAAAACAUGUUGCAGACCAAGACUUAACAGCAAACUAUGCAGCUGUUCAGAAGUUUCAUGCAGACUCAGAAGGACUAGCACAAAUUACAGUAAGUAGGUGGCUGGAGCUCAUUUUGCAUACAGAUUUGGAUGGAUGCACACAAGCCAUUAUUUGGAGUUAAGGGAAAACUGCUGGAAAGCUACCAGAAGAGUGGCAGCAGCUGGCACAGCUGAACACUGCAGCAGAGAUCUGUCCUGCUCUGACCCCACUCUGGCUGCUGGAUAUAAAGCUCUGCAGGGUGCUGCUGCUUCCUUGGAUACUGCAGUGAGUGGAAGCCUCCAGGGAGCUCACCAGCUGUAGCAGACUCUCAGCCAAUUCCCUGCUGUGCGGCUGAACGUGAGGUAGUAUUUGCCAUGUGCUCCCUCAAGGGCUGCAGGA